rnacentral:rRNA from 1 species
AACGAACGCUGGCGGCAGGCUUAACACAUGCAAGUCGAACGGGUGCAGCAAUGCAUCAGUGGCAGACGGGUGAGUAACACGUGGGAACCUUCCUCGGGGUACGGAACAACUCAGGGAAACUUGAGCUAAUACCGUAUACGUCCGUGAGGAGAAAGAUUUAUCGCCCUGAGACGGGCCCGCGUCGGAUUAGCUAGUUGGUGGGGUAACGGCCUACCAAGGCGACGAUCCGUAGCUGAUCUUAGAGGAUGAUCAGCCACACUGGGACUGAGACACGGCCCAGACUCCUACGGGAGGCAGCAGUGGGGAAUCUUGGACAAUGGGCGCAAGCCUGAUCCAGCCAUGCCGCAUGAGUGAAGAAGGUCUUCGGAUUGUAAAGCUCUUUUGCCAGGGACGAUAAUGACGGUACCUGGAGAAUAAGCCCCGGCAAACUUCGUGCCAGCCGCCGCGGUAA